rnacentral:lncRNA from 1 species
GCACUCCAGCCUGGGCAACAAGAGUGAAACUCCAUCUCAAAAAAAAGAAAAAGAAAAAGAAAAAAAAGACAUGUCUGCUUCUCUUAAGGCUGAAUUUGGAUGCAAGGGCAUUCAUGAGGGAAAGUAAAAUGUGUUCUGAAUACCUGCAGAAACAGAUGAAAGAGAAAUUAGAAAUUUGUGAUUCUAUAUGAAAUGAAACAGCUCUCAAAGCAACGGCUCUCAAAGCAGGGAGAGAUGGGUGUCAAGAAACAUUCUGGCUGGGCGCGGUGGCUCACGCCUGUAAUCCCAGCACUUUGGGAGGCUGAGGCAGGUGAAUCACCUUGGUCUCAAAAGAAAAAAAGAGUCCGGGUGCGGUAGCUCAUGCCUGUAAUCCCAGCACUUUGGGAGGCAGAGGCAGGCAGAUCAUGAGGUCAGGAGUUCGAGUGAAACCCUGCCUCUACUAAAGAUACAAAAAAUUAGCCAGGCAUGGUGGUGUGUGCCUGUAACCCCAGCUACUCGGGAGGCUGAGGCAGAGAAUUCUUGAACCUGAGAGGCAGAGGUUGCAGUGAGCCGAGAUCGCGCCAUUGCAUACUGGCCUGGGUGUGGAAAAAAGAAAGAUCCUUAGCUGAGAACCCUAGCUUUCAAAGCUUUCAGCUUCAUGGAGAACUGUCACCUGGCAGUAGUAGGGUUUCGCCAUGCUUUGUCUCCAUUGCAGCCGCUCCCCUCUCAGGUCCCUCUGCCCCAGCCACAGUGGGACAGGGAGCUCGCUGCCUGCAGGAUUCAUGCCUAGGCUUGAUUGACACUGGUCCUAAACAGGUCUCUUUACUUCCCCCACCUCAUUCCCCUCAUGCAGGGCUGACAGGAGUGCAGAUUUCUGAGCAUGGACGGCCGUGUUGGCACCCGCCUCCCUGAGGACCCUGUGAGCUGGGCGUGGGCGGGGAAGGCAUGGUUGUGUCCUCCACUCAGCGGCCUCCAGGUCUUGUAACUGGUCCCCUUCCUUCUCUCUUGGCUAGGAAGCUCGGUGCCAGCUGUGAGUUGCAGCUCUUGGUUCCGUGGCCUCCUGGAGGCCAACAGGACUCACCCUGUCUCUGUCUUCUUCUUUCCUACCCUAUUUUCCUCG